rnacentral:rRNA from 1 species
GAUCCUGGCUCAGGACGAACGCUGGCGGCGUGCUUAACACAUGCAAGUCGAACGAUGAAGCCUAGCUUGCUAGGUGGAUUAGUGGCGAAUGGGUGAGUAAUACGUGAGUAACCUACCUUUAACUCUGGGAUAAGCCUGGGAAACUGGGUCUAAUACCGGAUACGACCGAUCUCCGCAUGGGGUGUUGGUGGAAAGCGUUAUGUAGUGGUUAUAGAUGGGCUCACGGCCUAUCAGCUUGUUGGUGAGG